UUGUGCUAGCUUUGGCACACAUUUACUAAAAUUGGAACAAUACAGAGAAAUUUAGCAUGGCCCCUGCACAAGGAUGACAUGGAAAUUCAUGAAGUAUUCCAUAAGAAUUUUUU
ensembl:snRNA U6 U6 spliceosomal RNA